AAUAUUUGACAAUGGGCGAAAGCCUGAUCCAGCCAUGCCGCGUGUUUGAUGAAGGUCUUCGGAUUGUAAAGCACCUUAAGUUGGGAGGAAGGGCAGUAAGUUAAUACCUUCCUGUUUUGACGUUACCGACAGCAUAAGCACCGGCUAACAUCGUUCCCUCAGCCGAGGUAAUACGAAGGGUGCAAGCGUUAAUCGGAAUUACUGGGCGUAACGCGUGUGUAGGCGGUUCGGAAAGAAAGAUGUGAGAUCCCAGGGCUCAACCUUGGAACUGCAUUGUUAACUGCCGAGCUAGAGUAUGGCAGAGGGUGGUGGAAUUUCCUGUGUAGCGGUGAAAUGCAUAGAUAUAGGAAGGAACACCAGUGGCGAAGGCGACCACCUGGGCUAAUACUGACACUGGGGUGCGAAAGCGUGGGGAGCAAAC
rnacentral:rRNA from 1 species